rnacentral:tmRNA from 1 species
GGGGCCGAUCCGGAUUCGACGUGGGUCGCGAAACAGUCAGGGCAUGCCGAGCACCAGUCAGCUCGUAAAUCCACUGGAACACUCACAAACGCCAACGAAGACGUUUUUGCUCAACAGCCCGCUCUGCGUGCUGCCUAAAUGAGCUGCUGCACUGAUUUGUCUUUGGGUCAGGUGGAGGGAGGCAACUUCCUAGGAGAGGUAACUCUUCGAACCACAGCAGUAUCACUUAACAAAGAAUCGGCGUAUUCCGGGGUCACACGGGGUACGUUUAAACUAUGUGACUCGCUUCGGUCCGGCCUGUCGACUGGCUAAGAUUCGGGGUUAAAUCCAAAUAGGUCGACUACGCAUGUAGAACUGCCUGCAGAGGGCUUGCGGACGGGGGUUCAAUUCCCCCCGGCUCCACCA